AUCCAGAUGACGAGUCCCAAAUAGGACGAAAGGUGCAUCCUGGAU
rfam:Trichobilharzia regenti genome assembly, scaffold: TRE_scaffold0008449